rnacentral:rRNA from 1 species
UACGUAGGGUGCGAGCGUUGUCCGGAAUUAUUGGGCGUAAAGAGCUCGUAGGCGGUCUGUCGCGUCGAUCGUGAAAACUUGGGGCUUAACCCUGAGCUUGCGGUCGAUACGGGCAUGACUGGAGUUCGGCAGGGGAGACUGGAAUUCCUGGUGUAGCGGUGAAAUGCGUAGAUAUCGUAAGGAAGACCAGUGGCGAAGGCGGGUCUCUGGACAGUUCCUGACGCUGAGGCACGAAGGCCAGGGGAGCAAACGGG